rnacentral:tRNA from 1 species
GGUGGAGCAGUCUGGUAGCUCGUCGGGCUCAUAACCCGAAGGUCGUAGGUUCAAAGGUAUGUUCGCCU